rnacentral:tRNA from 1 species
GCAGGGGGCGCAGCGGUUAGCGCUCUGGCCUAACAAUCCGGAAGCACUUGAGUUUGAAUCCCACCUCCUGCC